CUGCCCUUGGCCCUGUGAAUGAUUCCUCCCCCAUGCUUCUGCUUCCAUGCUGAAGUAGAUCACUGCAGUCCCAUGGUCGUCUCCAGUCUGCAGUAGAUCCGGGUCUUCUCUUCCCUCCCACACCUUUAGCACUUUAGAGGAAGUUCUGGCCUGGGGUCCCAUGGAAUUCCAUCCCAGAUGAGCAUGCUUGGCAGUUUCUCAGAUUGAGUUGCAGCGUCAUCGGGUUUGGGGCGAGCAAAGCAGGCGCGAGGCCUCCCCCUAUUUCACACCCAGAGCACGUGGAACGCUCAACUGACUUUCCGGUGGUCUCCGCCGCCACCUCUUAGUUCAAUGUUUCUGCUGGCAGGUCCCAGACUGUUCAAUGCCUCUCUCUGAACUGGGAAUGAAGAGUUGAGGACCACUGGAUGCUGUGAAGCACCUUUUAGAAGGCUAAGCCUCAGAAGAACAAGAUCGGAAAGCAAAACAGGAAAGUUUGUGAAGCGCCAUUCAAACAUGAGCCCUACAGGUCCUCCUGCCACCCGCCUCUUUCCCACUUUCAUCUCAUCUGGGAAGGAUCAACUGCAGGAGGUGGAUGAGAAAGGAAGCAGCAAGGUCUGCUCAAGUCCAGCUCACCUGACAUACCCUGCUGUCCAACCCCACGUGUGCUGCUGUGGAUGCUGGGAGCAGCUGCAGCGUCACAGAGGAAAUCCCCUUUGACUUGGGAUCCAGUGAGACAUCACCUGAUUACAUAGGCUCCAUAAUACUCCCUCAGGACAGGAGAACCAGAGAUGAGAUGUCAGGAGGAGAUCCCCUGAGAAGCUGUCACUGGACCCUAUCAUCAGUGAGCACUGGCCGCAGCCAGGCGGCCCCCAACAGCCUCCGACACCACCAGACGAAGGGGCUGAAAGGAGGUGGGGGUGCAGAUUGUUCGCUUGUUUCCCACUCUAUGUUGUUGCCUCUCUAUCUCAGAGGAAAACAGCACAUUUCCCAGGGGUGAAAACAGGCCCAGCUCUGUGGUCGUCAAACCACCAGGGCUGGGGGGUGGCCUGGUAUGGGGAACCCCAAGAGUGACAGGAAGGAGCCAGGCCGGAAUUCCAGGAGCCUGUCUGCUCAAACACCUGUUGGCAUCCAGACAACCCUGGGAGCCAGGCACAAGCUCGCCUUCCUCUCCUCUAGCUGCUGGAUCUGAGCUAAUAGCACCUUCACUCUUUAGUUCAACAUGAAGCCAGUACUGUCCUCUGGGGGAUGUGAUCCACAUGGCUUCCACCUUAUGAAGCUUCAUCCCUCCAGUCUCUGUAAGAUAUUGGGAUGGAACGCCCACAGUGAGAGAACUGAGUGUCCCACUGGACUCAGGGGCUUCACCAGUUCGCCCCUCCCUCAUCCUCACCAACUUUAUCACUGACCAGCGCAGAGACUGUGCCUCCUUCCUGCAAGCACCAAAGGUGCUGGUCCCUAGCCCCAGGAUUCCAGAAACUGGCGGAAUUUUUCCUGUCCCGUGGAGGGAUAUCUUGACUUAUAUUUUGACUAUACGUUUGAGAUUUUUCUGCUACACUGAGGCAAGGUAAGUUGGUAUUCUCAGGCUUGGGACUCAACCACUGUUCUUUACAAAGCCAGUAGCUGUGGGACUACUUUGUUCCCAGCUUAGGGACCAGGCAUAGGAGGAUGUCUUGAGGACUGUGUGACUGCAAAUAUCAGCUACAUGGACCCCUGCUGGCUUCUCCAGAACACUGUGGAAGGGUUUGAGAAUAUGUCCCCAGCUGAUCCCUGCAAAGUCGAUGCAGAGCUGCAGCUGCGCCUACCCCUGGACAACAUGGCUGGGGGGAAGGGCAGUGUCUCUCUACUUCGUCCCAGGUCACUGCUGAUGUGAAGAUGAGGGACUUGGGAAUAUCCACUUGGACAAUCUCUCCUUGGCCUUAAAGGGCUGGUCUGCCCUGAAAGAGUCACAGCUCAGAGAGGCUGCUCUUGAGAUCACAAGUUCUAACGAAACAUAGAGAACUCCAUAGCUGUCACAUGCUUCUGCGUGGCUACCUGGAUGGCUUAGAAGACACUGUAAUUGAACCCCAAGGGCUCUCGUGUCUGUGACUGAAAAGACAAAUCAUGCAGAUGAUGCAUAAAGAGAUGAGAAAGAUUUAAUACCCUCAGCAGGUAAGGAAUCAAUUGAGCCGCUAUCCCCUCGGAGGGAAGCGUGGGCGUAUUUCACUCAGGGACCUUAAAUACAUUCCUGGAUGAGUAGCCAUUCAUAAGCAUGCUUGGCCAAGGAGCUUAUGGCCAUGCACAGUUUAAGGUAACGGAGCACACGUUUAGAUUUAAGUGAUGUCGAGAAAGAGUCUCCCACAAAAGUGCUCACCUUGCUUUGUGGCCAACAGCACCGCUGUGGGCACUUGGCGUUGUGGGCACAGGACUCUCAUGGAGUCCGAACCCCUGGUGAGCUUUGUCCACGUGACGCACUGAAGUCAGAAGCAGAAGGCUGCUUAGGCAUGUCAAGAAGAUGGCGGAAGGAUGUUUUGAAUUUCAGUUUGUGCCCGUCCCUUCUCCCCUCAGACUUGGUCUCCUCGUUUCUUCUGUGUUGUUCUGUCAGGGAUAAAGACAGUUCUGAAACCUCAUUUUUGAUGGCUGCUGUUAACCUAAACAACUCUCAUCCCCCAAGAAGAGGGCCUGACCUCAGGGAUGGUGCUGCUCAUGGCUCCUUCGUCUUCAGAGACGCAGCAGGGACGCUGCUACUGUGUGACAGUGCAUGGCUGUUUCCAUGUGCUGCUUCGCCUUUGUCUGCAAGGAUCUGUCUCCCCACUUGCAGAGCACAGAGGUGUCCAGGUGGCACUAACUGUCCCCACCCCUUCUCCAGGCUCCUUUCUGCUGUUCCAGGACAGCCUGCCCUGUGCUGGUAUAUGUUCUGUCAGGCUUCAAGCUCCUUCCCACCCUGGGCUGCCCACAAACACAGUGGAAAACACAGCUCAGCCUUGUAAGCCUUUUAAGAGCCAGACCCUCUCCAUUUGCUGAGUAAACUUGCCCAGGGUUAAAAUACCCCUUGCCCUAGGAAUAAAGACAACAUAAAGUGAAAA
rnacentral:sRNA from 1 species